rnacentral:rRNA from 1 species
UCUGGUGGCGAUGCGCUUAGGGGUAACACCCGUUCCCAUCCCGAACACGAUGGUUAAGACCUAAGCGGCCGAUGGUACUUUACUGGAGACGGUACGGGAGAGUAGGUGGCUGCCGGGC